rnacentral:rRNA from 1 species
GACGGGUGAGUAACGCGUGGGAACAUACCUUUUGGUUCGGAACAACACAGGGAAACUUGUGCUAAUACCGGAUAAGCCCUUACGGGGAAAGAUUUAUCGCCGAAAGAUUGGCCCGCGUCUGAUUAGCUUGUUGGUGAGGUAACGGCUCACCAAGGCGACGAUCAGUAGCUGGUCUGAGAGGAUGAUCAGCCACAUUGGGACUGAGACACGGCCCAAACUCCUACGGGAGGCAGCAGUGGGGAAUAUUGGACAAUGGGGGCAACCCUGAUCCAGCCAUGCCGCGUGAGCGAUGAAGGCCCUAGGGUUGUAAAGCUCUUUUAACGGGGAAGAUAAUGACGGUACCCGUAGAAUAAGCCCCGGCUAACUUCGUGCCAGCAGCCGCGGUAAUACGAAGGGGGCUAGCGUUGCUCGGAAUCACUGGGCGUAAAGGGUGCGUAGGUGGAUAUUUAAGUCAGGGGUGAAAUCCUGGAGCUCAACUCCAGAACUGCCUUUGAUACUGAGUAUCUUGAGUUCGGGAGAGGUGAGUGGAACUGCGAGUGUAGAGGUGAAAUUCGUAGAUAUUCGCAAGAACACCAGUGGCGAAGGCGGCUCACUGGCCCGAUACUGACACUGAGGCACGAAAGC